GGAAGGGGGAGAGCUAAUGGAUGCAGCCAUGGCUGUGUGUGUGAAGAGGCCUUCGGGUUGUAAAGCACUUUCAGCGAGGAGGAAAGCCGUCAGUAGCUAAUAUCUGCUGGCUGUGACGUUACUCGCAGAAGAAGCACCGGCUAUUACUCCGUGCCAGCGGCCGCGGUAAAGGGGAGCCAGCAGCCGCG
rnacentral:rRNA from 1 species